rnacentral:piRNA from 1 species
UGAGUAAGACUGAAAAUUCUGUGGUAACAUU